rnacentral:rRNA from 1 species
AUUGAACGCUGGCGGCAUGCUUUACACAUGCAAGUCGGACGGCAGCACAGAGAAGCUUGCUUCUUGGGUGGCGAGUGGCGAACGGGUGAGUAACAUAUCGGAACGUACCGAGCAGUGGGGGAUAACUAAUCGAAAGAUUAGCUAAUACCGCAUAUUUUCUGAGGAAGAAAGCAGGGGACCUUUGGGCCUUGCGCUGUUUGAGCGGCCGAUAUCUGAUUAGCUAGUUGGUGGGGUAAAGGCCUACCAAGGCGACGAUCAGUAGCGGGUCUGAGAGGAUGAUCCGCCACACUGGGACUGAGACACGGCCCAGACUCCUACGGGAGGCAGCAGUGGGGAAUUUUGGACAAUGGGCGCAAGCCUGAUCCAGCCAUGCCGCGUGUCUGAAGAAGGCCUUCGGGUUGUAAAGGACUUUUGUCAGGGAAGAAAAGGGCGGGGUUAAUACCCCUGUCUGAUGACGGUACCUGAAAAAUAAGCACCGGCUAACUACGUG